UGGGCAACCUGCCCCCUGACACUGGGAUAACCCCCGGGGAAACCCGGAGCUAAUACCGGAUACUCUCGGCCGAUCACAUGGCUGGCCGAGGAAAGGUCCGCCGGUCAGGGAUGGGCCCGCGGCCUAUCAGCUUGUUGGUGAGGUAAUGGCUCACCAAGGCGACGACGGGUAGCCGGCCUGAGAGGGCGAUCGGCCACAUUGGAACUGAGACACGGUCCAGACUCCUACGGGAGGCAG
rnacentral:rRNA from 1 species